GACGAACGCUGGCGGCGUGCUUAACACAUGCAAGUCGAACGGAAAGGCCCUGCUUUUGUGGGGUGCUCGAGUGGCGAACGGGUGAGUAACACGUGAGUAACCUGCCCUUGACUUUGGGAUAACUUCAGGAAACUGGGGCUAAUACCGGAUAGGAGCUCCUGCUGCAUGGUGGGGGUUGGAAAGUUUCGGCGGUUGGGGAUGGACUCGCGGCUUAUCAGCUUGUUGGUGGGGUAGGGGCUUACCAAGGCUUUGACGGGUAGCCGGCCUGGGAGGGUGACCGGCGACAUUGGGACUGAGAGACGGCCCAGAGUCCUACGGGAGGCAGCAGUGGGGAAUAUGGCACAAUGGGCGGAAGCCUGAUGCAGCAACGCCGCGUGCGUGAUGACGGCCUUCGGGUUGUAAACCGCUUUCGCCUGUGACGAAGCGUGAGUGACGGUAAUGGGUAAAGAAGCACCGGCUAACUACGUG
rnacentral:rRNA from 1 species